rnacentral:lncRNA from 1 species
CUUUGCUGCUCCUGGUACCAUGGUAACAGCUCAAAGUGCCGUCAGAUCUCUCCUCCCGCUAGUUUGCUGUGCUGUCCUCUGCUCCUCUAUACUGUAGACCCCCUUCACCAGCAAACAGUUGACCCAAUGGCCAUCCAGGCACCAGGACAAUAGAGGACAAGGCAAGUAAUCAGCCUAGUACAUAUCCCCAGUCUGUGUAUAUUCUGUAUAUACUAGUGGUUAAAAGUGAGGGGCUUGUACUCCACCAUAGAACAGACAAAAGACACCUGUGAAUGAAUAAAGGAGAAAAAGAAACAGUGAAAAAUAAUGCAAAAGAAAAGGUAUAGCAAGAACUUAGUUAAAAUUAGUUGGUUUUGCCUAAGAAAUGCCUUUUAUUAUUAUCCAAUAUAGGAAAAGAUGAAUGAACUGCAGAUUCUUACCAUGGACAUGAGAGGAGUCAGGUAUUUCCAGCACAGCAUGAAUAAUUGGUUGGGGCUUGAUUUUGUCAUAUGAUAAAUAAGUUGUGUGUAGAGGAUUUAGCUUCUUUGGCUUUCCAGCAUUGAUGUUGUAUUCUGUUGGCUUUAAUGAUGUUAAGGUUUAUAGCCUGUGUGUGAUUUACCAUUAAGGACAUAUUUUUAGUCAAACAACAGGAAUACAUCCCCCUGCAGGUCACAGUAUAACAUAACAACACAUAAAGAUAUUGUAGUGUUAAUAAUAUACAAUGCAAAUUAAAGAAAUAAAAUUGCACAGACCCUCGGUCUUUCAAAUUUGAGAAUUUUAACAGUAGGCCUUUAUACUGUAGGCUCAGUUAAUUUUUGUUCAUUUUACUCUCAUUACACAAAACACUCUCCUUUGACCUCUGUAACCAUGAUGAAUUGGCCCAAGAAGCAAGUGAAACAGAAGAGCAGGAGGAAUGUUUCUCCCCGUCCUGCCCUGUGCAGAAUCACUGGGAACAGAUCCAUCACUGAUGUCGUGACGGCUUCCACUGGAACAAACUUCAAAGGGAUGGUCAUAAAGUUAUGGAAGAAUAUGAGACAAAAUAAUUAUGAUGAAGAAACAAACAGCCCACUACUGAGGGAGAGACAUCAUGGCUACUGCCUGGGGAUAAGCUAUGAGCACUAGUCCUGGACCUGUCAGAGACAGUGUGGGAUUGGAUGUUGGAUGCAGUGUUGUCACAACCGGCCCAUGGCAGUUGGGAGCUGAAAGAAGAGAUGAGGAAGAAAAGCGCCCAAGCCAUGGCAAAAGUGUUUGCAUGGGAAAAGAUUAAACAAAUUUAAUUUAAUUGAUUAAAACUUUUAUAAUACAUGUAGCAGAGGAAUGGAAAUCUCCCAAUUUUUCAACCACAUUUCCUGCCACAGCCAGAAGAAACUCAAAGACUCAGUGACCUCUCUCUUCUGUUUGUCCUUUUAUUCUGUCCAUUCCACACAGUUUUCACACAUUUCCAUUGAUGUCCAGGCUGCACAUAUUCUGGUUAGCAUUAGUUUCUACAAAUGUGUCAAGGUAUUCAUUGACUGAUCCUCCCCAGCUAAACUGACAAACAGGUUUACAUUAUUUAAGAAACAGAAAAGACAGAAUAAUGAUAAUAUCCAAAUCUUAUGCAAUAGUCAUCCAAAAUUAUUCAAAUAAAGUGGCUAAAUGAAAUAAAGUGACCGGUUUUAAAAACAUAGUUUGAUUAAUUAAUAUGUAAAACCUAAAGCUUCCAGUUUAGGAAGAAAUUCAAUGUAGAAGACUUGUUCUUUCAAUUACAGUUUUUUUUUGGUUUGGUACAACAUUUAUAAAUAAGGUGUGAAUUUUCUUGUAAUACUAAUAUCACAACAGAUCAUCAAAAGUGUACUAUUUAUUUUUCAAAUAUUUCAGCAUAUUUUCACUUGUCUUAGUAUGAUCCACACAAUCAAAAAGAAUCCUUUUCACUACACAAAAUAAGUGUUGCAUCUAUAAAUGUUUUAUUCACAGUAACAGUCUUUCAUAAAGCUGUCAUUAUCAAACUUUUCAUUUGCAUGUCUUCUCAUUCAGUUACAUUUGUCUAUUAUUUAAUCUAACUCAUCUGAAUGGUUAACCAGUUAAUCAUUUGGUGCAUCUAUGUAUAGAUACAUGUAGAAAUAUAAUUCAGUAGAUAUAGUCUCUAAAGAACUUGCCUGCAAUUUAUGGAUAAUCAAAUGUAAUUAAUAAUUUUUACACUAGUGAUUAAUUUCGUAAGGGUAAGUUUUAGGAAUAGGGUGACUGUAGGGGGAUAUAAUAUACAGUUUGUACAGUAUAAAUCCCAUUACUCCUACUGAAUGUCACCUAUAAAGAUAGGAAUACCUACCUGACAAAAUCACCCAAAACCUCUCUUUGAGGAUGUCCUGAUUUGUGAAACUGUCUGUUUUUGCAAUUUGUGAAAAUACAGCAGGAUACAAGGGAGAGGAACUGAUCAGAGAUUGAUCAGAGAUGUAUCAGAAGAAGGGAGACAGAUGGCAUCAAAUACAGUAUUUUGCAUUACAUUGUGCCAUGUGAUACUGUAUGUAGUGGCAUACCUGUAUACCAGGGUAGAGACAGCACAUAUAACUCACCUUCAAUCUGAAAAGUUCAGUUACAGUAUAGAUUCAGUCAUUGUCAGGGUUAUGGGCUGUUUGUGUGGGCUUGCUCUGUGUGACCCAGUUUCUUCCUCUUGUUAAUGAUUAAUUCGAAUCCAGGUGUGUCUAGUCAUUAGUCCCUUAAUUCUCUGUGUAUUUAAGGUCUUGCCCAUUCAAUUAGUUUAGUUGGUUCUGCAUGUCUUUUCCGGUGUCUUCUAUGUUGUGAGUGGUUUAUUAAAGACUUUGAUAUUCAAUAACUCUUUGUUUCCUCAAAUCAGUCAUCAAAUCAUCAUAAUAAUUUUGUAAUAUGUUUAUUUACAGGACUGUUUGGAUGAAACAAGCUACCCUUAAAGUGCCCCAAUAAUGGAUUUUUUUUUUUUUUAAAUGCAGUGUUGUAACACAAACAUAAAAGUUCACCGAGUAUAAAGUUAUUGUCUUUCAAAAGAAAGAGUCGACUCUGAGUCAUGAAAACAAGUAGUUUUUAAAAUGACUCCUAAGCUGUUUCAAGUUGACAUCAAAAAUAAAAACUCACAUAUUUAUGCCCGCCCACAUGCAGACCCAGGAAAACUUGAACCUCCCCUCCCUCAAACACAGUAGCAGCGGUUUCCUGCAGAAGAGUGUAACUGAAGCCUGGAGAUCUCCAAAUGGGAGUGGAAACUCCAAAAUGUGGUGGGAGCAGUAAACAGGAGCUUCUUCCCAUUGACAGACAGGUACAUGACACACAUGCAAAAAAAUGUUCUCCCAAUCCACUUCAGUGCAAACUCUGCUCGACAGCUGAUUAUAAAGUUUUUAUUGGUUGUGUAAUAUCAAUUGACUGACUGCAAGGAGGGUGCUGAAUAGCAUGGUAAUGAAAGUUGCACUUCAGGAGAUGAACAAUUAAUAAGAUUGUGUGAUAUGAGAUAGUUCAAUGACUCCCCAACUGGACCUCACCGGACAACGGCACCUUUUUAGUUACACCUAGCAUCACUGCCCCCCUCCUACCCUGUGUAUUUCGUGCCCUGGGACGCCCCCAUUGCUUGGAACAAAGUUAUAGAGUAAAAUAUUUCCCCUGUACUGGGAAAGCUUGCAUGAGAGCUCGUGGGUGAUUUUAAUUUACAUCAUGAAGCAGAGGUUCAAACUCAGGUUCGAACACCACCUGCCACCACCAGCCACCACCAGCUUUGGGCUCUGCUCUCAGGGAGGAUAUUUAUUUAUAUAGCAUAUUUUAUUUUAAAUGAACUAGACACAAUGAUUCAUUUAGAAAAAAAAGUCCAUAAAAAUUGCCAAUGGUGACGAGGAGACCCCAUCCCAUUUUUGAGGUUCUGCCUACUUUUGGAGUUCAG